GAGGNUCCUUGGUGAUUCAUGAUAACUUCUCGAAUCGCAUGGCCUUGUGCCGGCGAUGGUUCAUUCAAAUUUCUUCCCUAUCAACUUUCGAUGUUUGGGUAUUGGCCAAACAUGGUUGCAACGGGUAACGGAGGGUUAGGGCUCGACCCCGGAGAAGGAGCCUGAGAAACGGCUACUACAUCCAAGGAAGGCAGCAGGCGCGCAAAUUACCCAAUCCCGACACGGGGAGGUAGUGACAAUAAAUACUGAUACAGGGCUCUUUUGGGUCUUGUAAUUGGAAUGAGUACAAUUUAAAUCCCUUAACGAGGAACAAUUGGAGGGCAAGUCUGGUGCCAGCAGCCGCGGUAAUUCCAGCUCCAAUAGCGUAUAUUAAAGUUGUUGUGGUUAAAAAGCUCGUAGUUGAACCUUGGGCCUGGCUGGCCGGUCCGCCUCACCGCGUGUACUGGUCCGGCCGGGCCUUUCCCUCUGUGGAACCCCAUGCCCUUCACUGGGUGUGGCGGGGAAACAGGACUUUUACUUUGAAAAAAUUAGAGUGCUCCAGGCAGGCCUAUGCUCGAAUACAUUAGCAUGGAAUAAUAGAAUAGGACGUGUGGUUCUAUUUUGUUGGUUUCUAGGACCGCCGUAAUGAUUAAUAGGGACAGUCGGGGGCAUCAGUAUUCAAUUGUCAGAGGUGAAAUUCUUGGAUUUAUUGAAGACUAACUACUGCGAAAGCAUUUGCCAAGGAUGUUUUCAUUAAUCANGAACGAAAG
rnacentral:rRNA from 1 species